UACGUAGGUGACCAGCGUUGUCCGGAUUUACUGGGCGUAAAGAGCGCGCAGGUGGUCGUUCAAGUCGAGUGUGAAAGCCCCCGGCUCAACUGGGGAGGGUCACUUGAUACUGAUCGACUCGAAGGCAGGAGAGGGAAGCGGAAUUCCCGGUGUAGUGGUGAAAUGCGUAGAUAUCGGGAGGAACACCAGUGGCGAAGGCGGCUUCCUGGCCUGUUCUUGACGCUGAGGCGCGAAAGCUAGGGGAGCAAACGGG
rnacentral:rRNA from 1 species